UCCCUUCUCCAGAGCGCCGUCGACCCCACGCCACGCAGAGGUGAAGAUACGCAGGACGUCCUCUAAAGCAACUUCCGUGGGUGCCAGGUUGUGGGCUGGGGGCGGUGCUGACCUUGAGAGAGCGGAGGAGGCGCAGGCGCAGCACAGGUUUAAACUUGAUUUUGUGAGGGGACGAACAGCGUGACAAUUAAAAGAAGAUCUGGGAAUCGAUCCAAUGUGAUAAUUUAUGUGAAAUCUUUCUGCAAACUAUACAGUAUGAUAAAAAUAUAAGGUAGUUUCACUGGAAACAACAGAAGACUAGAAGCUGAUGUGACGUGGCAAUAUCAACCAGGGAAUACCCAUCUCGAGUUCUGGAUAUGUGCUCUGAGAAGGUGCCCAUGUCACCGACCACACUGGAGGCCAAUGCAGAUACUGGGGGAAGGUUCCAUGGUAGCUAAGUGUGGACAAGCUAAUCACUGAAGUUCCCUGAUGCAGAGUUGAUAAUCUCUCUAGAGUUGGAUGAAAGACUGUGCUGCCUUGAAGCUCUGAGAGAUGCCAUGCCAAUUCAAGGCAGGGUCUUUAUUGUUGAAACUCUUGCGUAAUGACAUCUUUAUUCAGGUGAAAAUACAGGAUGAAUUUCAACUAUAUGAUAUUGUUUAUGUUCCUCAGACAUGUUAUUUGUCUUUACAAAGAUUGGUUUCAAUAAACUGUGUGACUGAUAUUAAAUAAACAUGGAAUUUUACACAUUCAUAAUA
rnacentral:lncRNA from 1 species